UUUUGAUUUGGUCGGUUGAAUUCAUCAGUCUGUACAGCUCUUCACACAGUAAUGGUUAAUACAACUUUGUCAUAUGUUGGUCAGAAAUGGAUGUAGUCACGUUAGGUGCAUCGUGACUGUGUUGAGGUUUUUAUCUGCCAGUAACAUCGAGCAACACGAAUUAGUCAAUGUCAAAGUCAAGGUUAGCUAACAUUACCACUCGUUAGCGUUAGCUUUGCUAAAGCCCUUCAAUGCUUGGAGAGUUCUCCACAAGGUAAAGGCAGAAGACAAAGACCUGAACCAAGGAGCCAUUGAGGAAACCAUGGUGGGAAUACGUGAGAUGCCACUGAUGGACCAGAGGACAUUGAGCUUGUCCUGGAAGGGCAGGUGGUACUGUAUGAUUUGGACAAGGUUGCCUUAGCUGCUGCCAUGUUGUUUGGACUAAUGUAUGCCUUGAACCUUAACUACCCUCCUGAUCUUAAGUACUCUUUCAGAGUGCUCCAGAAAGUUGUGAAGGAGCUGGACGACAACACACUGUCAAAGAAAGCCCAGGGACUGAAAAAUAAACUAUAAGUGAGCUGUU